UCAGCAUUGCGGGGGGCGUUGGGAACCAGCACAUCCCUGGAGAUAACAGCAUCUAUGUAACAAAGAUCAUCGAAGGAGGUGCUGCCCACAAGGAUGGCAGGUUGCAGAUUGGAGACAAGAUCCUGGCGGUCAACAGUGUGGGGCUGGAGGACGUCAUGCACGAGGAUGCCGUGGCAGCCCUGAAGAACACAUAUGACGUUGUGUACCUAAAGGUGGCCAAGCCCAGCAAUGCCUACCUGAGUGACAGCUAUGCUCCCCCAGACAUCACAACCUGUGAGAGCCCUCCAAACCUCAGAGCUCCUCCUGACCCACCCUCGUAAUUCCUAAGACAUGCCAUUCUGUGACAGCCCCUGUGACCUGUUUCCAUGGGCCGACCACAGCCUCUGACCCUUGUGGUGGUUGGGGAGAAGGUGGAAAAUUGAACAUGGCAGAGCACUAGAAAGG
rnacentral:lncRNA from 1 species